GUGCUCACUGUGGCAGCACAUAUACUUAAAGAAAAUUAGAACAAUACAAAGAUUAACAUUACCUCCUCAAAAGGAUGACAUGAAAUUAGUGAAGUGUUCCAUAUGUUU
rnacentral:snRNA from 1 species